rnacentral:miRNA from 1 species
AAAAAAAAAAGAGGAAAAAUUUAUUGAACCCACCUCCACACACAACGUUUUGACCUGAACGGUCUUUGUCAAGCUUGAGACAGACCGUUCAGGUCAAAACGUUGUUAGUGGCGGUGGGUUCAAUAAAUUGCUUUUUUUUUUUUUUUUUUUUUAACU